AUUGAACGCUGGCGGCAUGCUUUACACAUGCAAGUCGAACGGUGACAGGCCGCAAGGUGCUGACGAGUGGCGAACGGGUGAGUAAUGCAUCGGAACGUGCCCAGUCGUGGGGGAUAACGCAGCGAAAGCUGUGCUAAUACCGCAUACGAUCUGUGGAUGAAAGCGGGGGACCGUAAGGCCUCGCGCGAUUGGAGCGGCCGAUGGCAGAUUAGGUAGUUGGUGGGGUAAAGGCUCACCAAGCCGACGAUCUGUAGCUGGUCUGAGAGGACGACCAGCCACACUGGGACUGAGACACGGCCCAGACUCCUACGGGAGGCAGCAGUGGGGAAUUUUGGACAAUGGGCGCAAGCCUGAUCCAGCAAUGCCGCGUGCAGGAAGAAGGCCUUCGGGUUGUAAACUGCUUUUGUACGGAGCGAAAAGGCUCCCUCUAAUACAGGGGGCUCAUGACGGUACCGUAAGAAUAAGCACCGGCUAACUACGUGCCAGCCGCCGCCGUAACAC
rnacentral:rRNA from 1 species